rnacentral:rRNA from 1 species
GUAGGGAAUAUUGCAAAAUGGGCGAAAGCCCGAUGCAGCAACGCCGCGUGGGCGAUGAGGGCCUUCGGGUCGUAAAGCCCUUUUUGAGGGGAUGAGGAAGGACAGUACCCUCAGAAUAAGCCUCGGCUAACUACGUGCCAGCAGCCGCGGUAAAACGUAGGAGGCGAGCGUUAUCCGGAUUUACUGGGCGUAAAGCGCGUGCAGGCGGAUUGGAGAGUUGGAUGUGAAAGCUCCCGGCUUAACUGGGAGAGGUCGUUCAAUACUUCCAGUCUUGAGUGCAGUAGAGGGAAGUGGAAUUCCGGGUGUAGUGGUGAAAUGCGUAGAUAUCCGGAGGAACACCAGUGGCGAAAGCGGCUUCCUGGACUGUAACUGACGCUCAGACGCGAAAGCUAGGGUAGCAAACG